rnacentral:rRNA from 1 species
GCUUGCUCCUGGGUGACGAGCGGCGGACGGGUGAGUAAUGUCUGGGAAACUGCCUGAUGGAGGGGGAUAACUACUGGAAACGGUAGCUAAUACCGCAUAACGUCGCAAGACCAAAGAGGGGGACCUUCGGGCCUCUUGCCAUCAGAUGUGCCCAGAUGGGAUUAGCUAGUAGGUGGGGUAACGGCUCACCUAGGCGACGAUCCCUAGCUGGUCUGAGAGGAUGACCAGCCACACUGGAACUGAGACACGGUCCAGACUCCUACGGGAGGCAGCAGUGGGGAAUAUUGCACAAUGGGCGCAAGCCUGAUGCAGCCAUGCCGCGUGUAUGAAGAAGGCCUUCGGGUUGUAAAGUACUUUCAGCGGGGAGGAAGGCGAUAAGGUUAAUAACCUUGUCGAUUGACGUUACCCGCAGAAGAAGCACCGGCUAACUCCGUGCCAGCAGCCGCGGUAAUACGGAGGGUGCAAGCGUUAAUCGGAAUUACUGGGCGUAAAGCGCACGCAGGCGGUCUGUCAAGUCGGAUGUGAAAUCCCCGGGCUCAACCUGGGAACUGCAUUCGAAACUGGCAGGCUAGAGUCUUGUAGAGGGGGGUAGAAUUCCAGGUGUAGCGGUGAAAUGCGUAGAGAUCUGGAGGAAUACCGGUGGCGAAGGCGGCCCCCUGGACAAAGACUGACGCUCAGGUGCGAAAGCGUGGGGAGCAAACAGGAUUAGAUACCUGGUAGUCCACGCCGUAAACGAUGUCGACUUGGAGGUUGUGCCCUUGAGGCGUGGCUUCCGGAGCUAACGCGUUAAGUCGACCGCCUGGGGAGUACGGCCGCAAGGUUAAAACUCAAAUGAAUUGACGGGGGCCCGCACAAGCGGUGGAGCAUGUGGUUUAAUUCGAUGCAACGCGAAGAACCUUACCUACUCUUGACAUCCAGAGAACUUAGCAGAGAUGCUUUGGUGCCUUCGGGAACUCUGAGACAGGUGCUGCAUGGCUGUCGUCAGCUCGUGUUGUGAAAUGUUGGGUUAAGUCCCGCAACGAGCGCAACCCUUAUCCUUUGUUGCCAGCGGUCCGGCCGGGAACUCAAAGGAGACUGCCAGUGAUAAACUGGAGGAAGGUGGGGAUGACGUCAAGUCAUCAUGGCCCUUACGAGUAGGGCUACACACGUGCUACAAUGGCGCAUACAAAGAGAAGCGACCUCGCGAGAGCAAGCGGACCUCAUAAAGUGCGUCGUAGUCCGGAUUGGAGUCUGCAACUCGACUCCAUGAAGUCGGAAUCGCUAGUAAUCGUAGAUCAGAAUGCUACGGUGAAUACGUUCCCGGGCCUUGUACAC